UUUGAGAUGGCCUCUCGCCCUAUUCAGUGUAACAGCUGUGGUAGUGGGUUUGGUCGCUCGCAUUUAAAUUGGAAGGGUAAUGGUGGACCGCACUUCUCCCUUAGUAGGACGUUGCGACCUGUCAAAUAAUAUCCUAAGUAUUUGGCUAAUUUGUCUGUUUUUAGGCAGUACUGAAAGGUAUUUCCUUUAACAGUUUUAGCCGUUAACAUACUGGAUAUAAUUGACAGUAACGAAUCAUGGUGUUGAGCCACUUACUUUGUAAGUGUCCUUUAUGGCUGUUUGCAAGUGGGUUGGUUAAUUAGUUUUAGUCGGAUUUUGGUCCGUCUAACUAUUCCGCCUACUGUUGGUAAACUGUUCCUUGGACAGUGCUUAUAACACCGGUCGGCAGCGAUUCAGGUUCAGGCUCUUAUCCGACCCGUCUUGAAACACGGACCAAGGAGUUUAGCGUGUACGCAAGUCAUUGGGUGUAUAAAACCCAAAGGCGCA
rnacentral:rRNA from 1 species